GACGAACGCUGGCGGCGUGCUUAACACAUGCAAGUCGAACGGAAAGGCCCUGCUUUUGUGGGGUGCUCGAGUGGCGAACGGGUGAGUAACACGUGAGUAACCUGCCCUUGACUUUGGGAUAACUUCAGGAAACUGGGGCUAAUACCGGAUAGGAGCUCCUGCUGCAUGGUGGGGGUUGGAAAGUUUCGGCGGUUGGGGAUGGACUCGCGGCUUAUCAGCUUGUUGGUGGGGUAGUGGCUUACCAAGGCUUUGACGGGUAGCCGGCCUGAGAGGGUGACCGGCCACAUUGGGACUGAGAUACGGCCCAGACUCCUACGGGAGGCAGCAGUGGGGAAUAUUGCACAAUGGGCGGAAGCCUGAUGCAGCAACGCCGCGUGCGGGAUGACGGCCUUCGGGUUGUAAACCGCUUUCGCCUGUGACGAAGCGUGAGUGACGGUAAUGGGUAAAGAAGCACCGGCUAACUACGUGCCAGCAGCCGCGGUGAUACGUAGGGUGCGAGCGUUGUCCGGAUUUAUUGGGCGUAAAGGGCUCGUAGGUGGUUGAUCGCGUCGGAAGUGUAAUCUUGGGGCUUAACCCUGAGCGUGCUUUCGAUACGGGUUGACUUGAGGAAGGUAGGGGAGAAUGGAAUUCCUGGUGGAGCGGUGGAAUGCGCAGAUAUCAGGAGGAACACCAGUGGCGAAGGCGGUUCUCUGGGCCUUUCCUGACGCUGAGGAGCGAAAGCGUGGGGAGCGAACAGGCUUAGAUACCCUGGUAGUCCACGCUGUAAACGGUGGGUACUAGGUGUGGGGUCCAUUCCACGGGUUCCGUGCCGUAGUUAACGCUUUAAGUACCCCGCCUGGGGAGUACGGCCGCAAGGCUAAAACUCAAAGGAAUUGACGGGGCCCCGCACAAGCGGCGGAGCAUGCGGAUUAAUUCGAUGCAACGCGUAGAACCUUACCUGGGUUUGACAUGGAUCGGGAGUGCUCAGAGAUGGGUGUGCCUCUUUUGGGGUCGGUUCACAGGUGGUGCAUGGCUGUCGUCAGCUCGUGUCGUGAGAUGUUGGGUUAAGUCCCGCAACGAGCGCAACCCUUGUUCACUGUUGCCAGCACGUUAUGGUGGGGACUCAGUGGAGACCGCCGGGGUCAACUCGGAGGAAGGUGGGGAUGACGUCAAGUCAUCAUGCCCCUUAUGUCCAGGGCUUCACGCAUGCUACAAUGGCUGGUACAGAGAGUGGCGAGCCUGUGAGGGUGAGCGAAUCUCGGAAAGCCGGUCUCAAUUCGGAUUGGGGUCUGCAACUCGACCUCAUGAAGUCGGAGUCGCUAGUAAUCGCAGAUCAGCAACGCUGCGGUGAAUACGUUCCCGGG
rnacentral:rRNA from 1 species